AUACGUAGGGUGCGAGCGUUGUCCGGAAUUACUGGGCGUAAAGAGCUCGUAGGUGGUUUGUCGCGUCGUCUGUGAAAUUCCGGGGCUUAACUCCGGGCGUGCAGGCGAUACGGGCAUAACUUGAGUACUGUAGGGGAGACUGGAAUUCCUGGUGUAGCGGUGAAAUGCGCAGAUAUCAGGAGGAACACCGGUGGCGAAGGCGGGUCUCUGGGCAGUAACUGACGCGGAGGAGCGAAAGCAGGGGUAGCGAACAGGAUUAGAUACCCUGGUAGUCCAUGCCGUAAACGGUGGGCGCUAGGUGUAGGGGUCUUCCACGACUUCUGUGCCGUAGCUAACGCAUUAAGCGCCCCGCCUGGGGAGUACGGCCGCAAGGCUAAAACUCAAAGGAAUUGACGGGG
rnacentral:rRNA from 1 species